rnacentral:ribozyme from 13 species
CCCCAACACCCUCGGGGAAGUUCGGAGACCAAGCAGUAGCCUCAGAAUAAAGCAGAAGCCUCAGAAUCCAGAUAGACCUCCUCUCUGAGCCCCUCAGCACCAGCGGCAGCAGGCCACAGAACCUUCCCUAUUCCCUAAGAUCAGACUGUGGCUGGGAGGUCUGAUGGUCCAGGAGCUGCGGUUCCAAGAAAGCCAAGGUUUGUUGGGUGCAGUGAAAUUGU